rnacentral:rRNA from 1 species
UACGAAGGGGGCUAGCGUUGCUCGGAAUCACUGGGCUUAAAGGGCGCGUAGGCGGGCCGGCAAGUCAGGGGUGAAAUCUUCCAGCUCAACUGGAAAAGGGCCUUUGAUACUGUCGGCCUCGAGGGAGGUAGGGCAUGCGGAACUUCCGGUGGAGCGGUGAAAUGCGUAGAUAUCGGAAGGAACGCCGGUGGCGAAAGCGGCGUGCUGGACCUCUUCUGACGCUGAGGCGCGAAAGCUAGGGGAGCAAACGGG